rnacentral:misc_RNA from 1 species
GUCCAGUUGUCUCAUAGUGUAUCUAAAAUAGAACAUGCACUUAAAUCCAAAUUCAUGGGUUUCUCAAUCUCUGUGACCAUUCUAUAAGCUAUAAUUUAUAUGUUCUAAGGAGUAAAAAAAAAAAUAUGCAUCAAUUUGAUAACUGGAUAGCAAGCAAAAAGAAAUUGCGCAACAAAAUGCAGCCCAAUAAACAUUACUUAAGAAUUUUGAGUUCAGAAAAUAAGAUUU